rnacentral:lncRNA from 1 species
AACCAGGUGAAAUGAUUUUAAAAAUAUAUAUAUAUUUCAAGAAAUAUAUAUAUACAUAUAUAUAUACAUUCACAAAAUAGCAACAGAAGAAAACGAGAUAAAAUUUAUAUUUUGGAAGAAAAUAAUAAUGGUUACCACAAUAUUAUACCAAAUAUCAAUUGUUCGAAUUAGUGCCGUUCCUGUUCAGCUGGAGAAGUGCUUCAACUAUCAAUAGUUCCAGAGAUUGAAAACAGUAGUUUAUGUGGUUAUAUGGCUAAAAUAAAAGUAAUUAAAUAAUGUG